CCUACGGGUGGCAGCAGUGGGGAAUAUUGGGCAAUGGGCGCAAGCCUGACCCAGCAACGCAGCGUGAAGGAAGAAGGCUUUCGGGUUGUAAACUUCUUUUAAGGGGGAAGAGCAGAAGACGGUACCUCUUGAAUAAGCCACGGCUAACUACGUGCCAGCAGCCGCGGUAAUACGUAGGUGGCAAGCGUUGUCCGGAUUUACAGAGUGUAAAGGGCGUGCAGCCGGAGAGACAAGUCAGAUGUGAAAGUCACGGGCUCAACCCGUGAACUGCAUUUGAAACUGUUUCCCUUGAGUGUCGGAGAGGUAAUCGGAAUUCCUGGUGUAGCGGUGAAAUGCGUAGAUAUAAGGAAGAACACCAGUGGCGAAGGCAGAUUACUGGACGAUAACUGACGGUGAGGCGCGAAAGCGUGGGGAGCAAACAGGAUUAGAUACCCCGGUAGUC
rnacentral:rRNA from 1 species